GGCCCGGCUGCCCGCUCCGCUUCCGGGGCCCGCGCCUCCGGCUCGUUUUGCUCCGCGCGGCGUUCCUGCCGCUCUGCCCCCAGCCUGCAGCGAUGCCUGGGGUGGUUGUGAGCGAAGUGCGGGACCGGCGAGUGGCGGUGUUGAGCCUCGUGCCGUUGGCGUCGGCCGUCGAUCAGCCUGUGCGGGCCGCUCUGCAGGGUCCUCGUAUCCUUAGGCAGAUAAUAGCAGGAUGCAGGAGCUGAGGGGCGAUGGGAGGGAGGGGAGCGUCCUGCGUGGGAUGGCCCCGCGACCUGCCAUGUGCCUAUGGAAAUGGUGAGAGUGACUUCUGAGGCUGUGAGCGGUGGCUGAUGAGAGAAGCUGAAGAGAGGAGCCUCCGAAUUGAACUGACUGAUAUGGAACGAAAGGGCAUUUGAUUGCAAAUGGAUCAAGGUGUGUCUGUUUUCCUUCUGAAAAGUGAAAUGUGCUGCUGAAGUUCCCUUGUUAUCACACGUGCUUUGCUUGUCUGCUUUCCUCCAGAGCGGAGGCCUUCAUCCUGUGCCUGCUUGGCUUCCUGACCUGUUGUGGUAGCUGCAGGCACGAAGCGCUAAGAGGAGCACAGGAUCAGAUCCUGGGGUGUUUGGGGUUUGUUGUUAUCUGAAGCUGGUAAGUAAGUGUAUGCUACAUAGGAAGCUGCAGUUGAACUGCACAAAUUCAUCUUCUGACUGGCUGGCAAACAGCUGAUUUUAUAAGUCAGAGAUCUGGAAUUCCUUCAGAUUCUCCAGUGACGUUCCGACGGAUACGAUGCCCUUACAUUAUUGGUACACAGCUCCAGGUUUUUGUUACAUGUUCGGAUCUGCCUUUUGCACAAAGUAAGAGCUCUGUGUUUUAACAUCAUCAAGUUAAUCUGUCUGUACGUUUGCUAAGGUCUCUCUCAGGUUGUUUGUGUUCAGUUAUGAAGAAUAGGUGUAAGGAUUUUGUUAUCUGGGCUAUCUGUACGACUUCUUUCUGAGAAUCCAGUCUGAAAUGUGCUGCAGUCUUUUGAUAUGUUUACUGUCUUCUGUACAUUUUCUUGCCAAACUGUGAUCUGGAAGAAAGUUGCUGAGAAGUCAUAGAGAUGAUCUUAAAACAGACUAGGAAACAGAGUUUGUUUCCAGUGAAACAAUUACUAAUCUAAGAAAAGCCUUAUUAAAGAAAGAGAAGGCACCAGUAUCUUAAGCACAAUCAUUUCAAAGCUUAUAGCUUUGAUGUGACUCCGUUUUGGAUAAAUAAAGAGAAGUGCGCGGUCUGAAAUAACUGAAACAGAGCUCAGCAGAAAGCAUCCGCAUGCUUGUCAAAGGAAAUUUGAGUUGGCUGUCUUGUCUCCUGCACAUUUAAAGGUUUAACAGGCUUGCCACGUGACUUCCUGGCUCUCGUAUGCUUAUUUGGAGGUUGGUGCUACUCCUGUUUUCUUCCUUUUACAAGCCCUUUGUGAUAACACCAGCCCCGUUGGUUUAGCAUUCCAGCAGCCCGAUCUGCGUGCAGAAAUUAUUGUAGAACAGGUCCAAAUCUGUAAAUGCAGUAUUGCUCUUAUCUUGGCUUUUGUAUCAUAAAUCAAUUCUUCCUGGUGAAGGGAGGCUUAUCUUUCUGCUGGACUCAUUUUCUCUGAGCCUGAGUUCUCUGUGUUACCGUUGUCUUUCAUUGGACUUGGGCAGAAUUUUAAUUUGAGGAAGCUACUGAGUUUAACUUUUUUUUUUUUUAAAUGAGCGUAUUUAUAGGAGAAUUCAGGAUCUCUCCUGUAGUGCACGUAUUGUGCAUUUAUAUGAUGUGAUAAAUCUUAAGCCCUGGCUUGAGCCCUUUUGGCUCAUCUGUGUACAGAUGCACGAUUUCAGGCCAGCCACUGUUUUCUGUAAGACUCCGUUAUUAAACUGUAUUUGCAUGCUGCGGCUGUGAAGUUCAAGGUCCUGGCAACAGAUUGCAUUGAGGACCAAGUCAGAAGACCUGGAAAAUGGGGCCUUGUCAACUCCCUUGACUGCUUCUUAAAGCAAGUCCUGGCAGAUGGCUGCUCAGAGCUGUAUUCUCUGCUUUAUUGAUGUGCAGAUAAAAGACUGGUGAUGUUUCUUACUGGUGCUUAAAAACAAACACUCCAAAGCCCACGGAAAGAUCACCACCUCCAACCACAAAGCUACCAGAGGAACUGUAGAGCAUAACGGCUUCUAUAGCUACUGCCAUUGGAGCACUUUGAUCUGAAGGGCCUGCAAAGACAAUCGCUCAAUCUGUCAGGCCUCCCCUGCCUCGUUUCCAGCCUUCCCCUCAGCGAGCAGCUUUCUACCUCAGAGUCUUGUGUGGCUCUCUGAAUCUGCAAACUGACCAGCAGACUGAGUGGAAAUAAAGCCAAUUAAUUUUUAUUGGAAGUACUGCAUACAGAGCUGGAACCCCCGGUCAAAGAAAGGCGCAGAGCUCUUGGACCAAGAGGAGGGCCACUAAGAUGAUCAGAGGGCUGGAGCACCUCUCGUGUGAAGAAAGGUGGAGAGAACCAGGCUUGUUUAGCUUGGUGGAAAUCUGGACGGCUUCCCAGCCCCCUUGCCGACAGCUCCACCGCGGUCACCACGGUUGGCUGCACCUUCCUCUCUGGAGCGGUGCGAGCAUCGAGCCCUAGGGAGGCGAGAAGAGCAGAGCGCGGAGCGUUACGGGCUGAGCGCAGGCAAGGCAAGGCAAGGCUGGGCUCCAGCCUGGCUCUCGGGAUCUGCUGCCUAUGGAGCUCACCUGGGAAGCUGCCGCUUCAGCUCCAGCUUCUGCCGGUUUCUUUCUGCGGUGCUGGCAAAAGCCUCUUGCUGAUGGAGGUGUGGCUCCAACUUCUGGAGCACCUGAGCUGCUCGGUGGGAAAGGAGGCUGCAACAGGAGGAGAAAGUCAUCCCUCGGGCUCCACCGAGCCGCCCCUGCCUCUGCCCUCACCCGGUCCCGCACCCCGUGCUGCCCCCUGUGUGUCCCCAGCCUUGCACCCUGCCAGCAGUUUUUGGCCCGGGCCGUGCCUGUCCCCGAGCUGCAGAGUCACAGCUGCCCAAGAGCCUCGGGCAGCUGGCAGAGCCCGCACACACUCACUCAGCAUGCAGUGCCAGCUUGGUCGCCGUCCCCAUUUUACUUCCUGGCACAGGAUCCACGUCCUUCCUCCAUCUCCUUCCCACUUGCUGUCUCCUGGGCUGGGCUGGAGGAUGCGGAACACGCACGCUCUCCCUGGCCAACAGCUGCCAAAGAGGAGACGCUGUCAGCAAAGCGGCUGGGAGCCCGGGGCUGUUCCCCCGAGGCCCUCUGCCAAGGGCCCUGCAGCAGGCCCCGGCAAGCAGGAGACUCAGCCCUCCGGCCCACGGCUCCCGCCGCCCUUCCCUUCUC